rnacentral:rRNA from 1 species
UCCAGACUCCUACGGGAGGCAGCAGUGGGGAAUAUUGCACAAUGGGGGGAACCCUGAUGCAGCGACGCCGCGUGAGUGAAGAAGUAUUUCGGUAUGUAAAGCUCUGUCAGCAGGGAAGAAGAAAGACGGUACCUGACCAAGAAGCCCCGGCUAACUACGUGCCAGCAGCCGCGGUAAUACGUAGGGGGCAAGCGUUAUCCGGAUUUACUGGGUGUAAAGGGAGCGUAGACGGCAGGGCAAGUCUGGAGUGAAAGGCAGGGGCCCAACCCCUGGACUGCUCUGGAAACUGUCCGGCUGGAGUGCAGGAGAGGUAAGUGGAAUUCCUAGUGUAGCGGUGAAAUGCGUAGAUAUUAGGAGGAACACCAGUGGCGAAGGCGGCCUACUGGACUGUAACUGACGUUGAGGCUCGAAAGCGUGGGGAGCAAACAGGAUUAGAUACCCUGGUA